rnacentral:rRNA from 1 species
GACGAACGCUGGCGGCGUGCCUAAUACAUGCAAGUCGAGCGAAUCGAUGGGAGCUUGCUCCCUGAGAUUAGCGGCGGACGGGUGAGUAACACGUGGGUAACCUGCCUGUAAGACUGGGAUAACUUCGGGAAACCGGAGCUAAUACCGGAUACUUUCUUUUCUCGCAUGAGGAGAGAUGGAAAGAUGGUUCUGCUAUCACUUACAGAUGGACCCGCGGCGCAUUAGCUAGUUGGUGAGGUAACGGCUCACCAAGGCGACGAUGCGUAGCCGACCUGAGAGGGUGAUCGGCCACACUGGGACUGAGACACGGCCCAGACUCCUACGGGAGGCAGCAGUAGGGAAUCUUCCGCAAUAGACGAAAGUCUGACGGAGCAACGCCGCGUGAGCGAAGAAGGCCUUCGGGUCGUAAAGCUCUGUUGUUAGGGAAGAACAAGUACGAGAGUAACUGCUCGUACCUUGACGGUACCUAACCAGAAAGCCACGGCUAACUACGUGCCAGCAGCCGCCGUAAAAC